rnacentral:rRNA from 1 species
UACGGGGGGAGCAAGCGUUGUUCGGAUUUACUGGGCGUAAAGGGCGCGUAGGCGGUCAGCACAAGUCAGUUGUGAAAUCUCCGGGCUUAACUCGGAAAGGUCAACUGAUACUGUGCGACUAGAGUGCGGAAGGGGCAACUGGAAUUCUCGGUGUAGCGGUGAAAUGCGUAGAUAUCGAGAGGAACACCUGCGGCGAAGGCGGGUUGCUGGGCCGACACUGACGCUGAAGCGCGAAAGCCAGGGGAGCAAACGGG